UACGUAGGGUGCAAGCGUUUAAUCGGAAUUACUGGGCGUAAAGCGUGCGCAGGCGGUUUUGUAAGUCUGUCGUGAAAUCCCCGGGCUCAACCUGGGAAUUGCGAUGGAGACUGCAAGGCUAGAAUCUGGCAGAGGGGGGUAGAAUUCCACGUGUAGCAGUGAAAUGACGUAGAGAUGUGGAGGAACACCGAUGGCGAAGGCAGCCCCCUGGGUCAAGAUUGAC
rnacentral:rRNA from 1 species